rnacentral:rRNA from 1 species
AUGUCGUCGUCGGGGGCCGGCGAGGAGGGCGCCGCCGCGCCGCAGGGGCCGCUGCCCGUGGAGCACCGCAAGGGCGCCAACGGGCUCGACAAGGUCGUCCUCCGCGAGGCCCGGCGCAUCUCCGCCGAGGUGUACCUGUAUGGUGGCCAUGUAACAUCAUGGAAAGAUGAGCAUGGGGAGGAGCUGCUUUUCGUUAGUAAUAAGGCUAUUUUCAAACCUCCAAAAGCUAUACGUGGAGGUAUACCAAUCUGCUUUCCUCAGUUUUCCAACUUCGGACAGCUGGAAGCUCAUGGAUUUGCAAGGAACAAGAUCUGGAGUGUUGACACUGAUCCACCACCAUUUCCAGUACCAAUCUCUAGUAGAGCUUACAUCGAUUUAAUCCUUAAACCUACUGAUGAAGACUUAAAGAUCUGGCCACAUAGUUUUGAGUACCGUCUGAGGGUUGCACUUGGACCUGGUGGAGAUCUGAUGCUGACUUCACGUAUAAGGAAUACGAAUGCAGAUGGAAAGCCAUUCUCUUUUACCUUUGCAUAUCACACGUACUUCUCAAUUUCUGAUAUAAGUGAGAUACGAGUAGAAGGCCUGGAAACUCUGGAUUACCUAGACAACUUACAAGAUAGGGCCCGCUUCACUGAACAAGGCGAUGCUAUUGUUUUUGAAUCUGAGUUGGACAGAAUAUAUCUGGGCACGCCGUCAAAAAUUGCCAUUAUUGAUCAUGAGAAAAAAAGAACAUUUGUUGUGAGGAAAGGAGGACUUCCGGAUGCUGUUGUUUGGAACCCAUGGGACAAAAAAGCUAAGGCAAUGGCAGAUUUUGGGGAUGACGAAUAUAAACGCAUGGUAUGUGUGGAAGCAGCUGCUAUAGAAAAGGCGAUUACUCUGAAGCCUGGCGAGGAGUGGACUGGAAAAUUGGAACUAUCUGCAGUUCCGUCUAGUUAUUACAGUGGUCAAUUGGACCCAGAUCGUGUUAUUCAGGAUUCAGUUGUUCCGGAGGAUUCAGUCAGCUAG